rnacentral:rRNA from 1 species
UAAUUCCAGCUCCAAUAGCGUAUAUUAAAGUUGUUGCAGUUAAAAAGCUCGUAGUUGAACCUUGGGCCUGGCUGGCCGGUCCGCCUCACCGCGUGUACUGGUCCGGCCGGGCCUUUCCUUCUGGGGAACCUCAUGCCCUUCACUGGGCGUAUUGGGGAACCAGGACUUUUACUUUGAAAAAAUUAGAGUGUUCAAAGCAGGCCUUUGCUCGAAUACAUUAGCAUGGAAUAAUAGAAUAGGACGUGUGGUUCUAUUUUGUUGGUUUCUAGGACCGCCGUAAUGAUUAAUAGGGAUAGUCGGGGGCAUCAGUAUUCAAUCGUCAGAGGUGAAAUUCUUGGAUUGAUUGAAGACUAACUACUGCGAAAGCAUUUUGCCAAGGAUGUUUUCAUUAAUCAGUGAACGAAAGUUAGGGGAUCGAAGACGAUCAGAUACCGUCGUAGUCUUAACCAUAAACUAUGCCGACUAGGGAUCGGACGGUGUUAGUAUUUUGACCCGUUCGGCACCUUACGAGAAAUCAAAGUUUUUGGGUUCUGGGGGAGUAUGGUCGCAAGGCUGAACUUAAAGAAAUUGACGGAAGGGCACCACCAGGCGUGGAGCUGCGGCUUAAUUUGACUCAACACGGGGAAACUCACCAGGUCCAGACACAAUAAGGAUUGACAGAUUGAGAGCUCUUUCUUGAUUUUGUGGGUGGUGGUGCAUGGCCGUUCUUAGUUGGUGGAGUGAUUUGUCUGCUUAAUUGCGAUAACGAACGAGACCUUAACCUGCUAAAUAGCCAGGCCCGCUUUGGCGGGUCGCCGGCUUCUUAGAGGGACUAUCGGCUCAAGCCGAUGGAAGUUUGAGGCAAUAACAGGUCUGUGAUGCCCUUAGAUGUUCUGGGCCGCACGCGCGCUACACUGACAGAGCCAACGAGUUCAUUUCCUUAGCCGAAAGGUUUGGGUAAUCUUGUUAAACUCUGUCGUGCUGGGGAUAGAGCAUUGCAAUUAUUGCUCUUCAACGAGGAAUGCCUAGUAAGCGCAUGUCAUCAGCAUGCGUUGAUUACGUCCCUGCCCUUUGUACACACCGCCCGUC